ACGGGAGGCAGCAGUGGGGAAUUUUGCACAAUGGGCGCAAGCCUGACGCAGCGAUGCCGCGUGAGGGAAGAAGGUUUUCGGAUUGUAAACCUCUGUCAUCGGGGACGAUAAUGACUGUACCCGAGAAGGAAGCUCCGGCUAACUACGUGCCAGCAGCCGCGGUAAUACGUAGGGAGCGAGCGUUAUCCGGAAUUACUGGGUGUAAAGGGAGUGUAGGCGGGACUGUAAGUCAGAUGUGAAAUAUGCCGGCUCAACUGGCAGACUGCAUUUGAAACUGCGGUUCUUGAGUGAAGUAGAGGUAAGCGGAAUUCCUAGUGUAGCGGUGAAAUGCGUAGAUAUUAGGAGGAACAUCAGUGGCGAAGGCGGCUUACUGGGCUUUAACUGACGCUGAGGCUCGAAAGCGUGGGGAGCAAACAGGAUUAGAUACCCUGGUA
rnacentral:rRNA from 1 species